rnacentral:rRNA from 1 species
GUCAGGUGCGUGCAGGGAGGCGAGGUAAUGCUGGGGGAGUAAGGGUUGGUCGGAAUUACUGGGGGGAAAGGGCGCGUAGGCUGCCUACGAAGUCGGACGUGAAAUCCCCCGGCUCAACCGGGGAACUGGGUCCGAUACUGGUGGGCUCGAAUCCGGGAGAGGGAUGUGGAAUUCCAGGUGUAGCGGUGAAAUGCGUAGAUAUCUGGAGGAACACCGGUGGCGAAGGCGGCAUCCUGGACCGGUAUUGACGCUGAUGCGCGAAAGCCAGGGGAGCAAACGGGAUUAGAUACCCGAGUAGUC